AGAAUCAACGCUGGCGGCGUGCCUAACACAUGCAAGUCGAACGAGAAAGUGGAGCAAUCCAUGAGUAAAGUGGCGACCGGGUGAGUAACACGUGACUAACCUACCUUCGAGUGGGGGAUAACCUCGGGAAACCGAGGCUAAUACCGCAUAACAUCGCAAGAUCAAAGCAGCAAUGCGCUGGAAGAGGGGGUCGCGGCUGAUUAGCUAGUUGGCGGGGUAAUGGCCCACCAAGGCGAAGAUCGGUAGCCGGCCUGAGAGGGGCGCGACGGACGACGACUGGAACUGAAACACGGUCCGGACUCCUACGGGAGGCAGCAGUGGGGAAUAUUGGACAAUGGGGGAAACCCUGAUCCAGCGACGCCGCGUGUGUGAAGAAGGCCUGCGGGUUGUAAAGCACUUUUAGUGGGGACAAAAAAGCUACGGAUUAAUACUCUGUGGUCUUGAUUUAACCCAAAGAAAAGCACCGGCUAACUCUGUGCCAGCAGCCGCGGU
rnacentral:rRNA from 1 species